GAUGAACGCUAGCUACGGGCUUAACACAUGCAUGUCGAGGGGCAGCGCAGUGUAGCAAUACAUGGGCGGAGACCGGCGCACGGGCGCGUAACGCGUAUCCAACCUCCCCGUUACUCAGGGAUAGCCUUCCGAAAGGGAGAUUAAUACCUGAUGGUGUCGAAAUUCCGCAUGUUAUUUCAACUCAAGAUUUACCGGUAACGGCUGGGGAUGCGUGACAUUAGAUAGUAGGCGGGGUAACUGCCCACCUAGUCUACGAUGUCUAGGGGUUCUGAGAGGAAGGUCCCCCACACUGGAACUGAGACACGGUCCAGACUCCUACGGGAGGCAGCAGUGAGGAAUAUUGGUCAAUGGUCGGAAGACUGAACCAGCCAAGUAGCGUGAAGGAUGAAGGUUCUAUGGAUUGUAAACUUCUUUUAUACGGGAAUAAAACCUCCCACGUGUGGGAGCGUGUAUGUACCGUAUGAAUAAGCAUCGGCUAACUCCGUGCCAGCAGCCGCGGUAACAC
rnacentral:rRNA from 1 species